GAUGAACGCUGGCGGCGUGCCUAAUACAUGCAAGUCGAGCGAACGGACGAGAAGCUUGCUUCUCUGAUGUUAGCGGCGGACGGGUGAGUAACACGUGGAUAACCUACCUAUAAGACUGGGAUAACUUCGGGAAACCGGAGCUAAUACCGGAUGAUAUUUUGAACCGCAUGGUUCAAAAGUGAAAGACGGUCUUGCUGUCACUUAUAGAUGGAUCCGCGCUGCAUUAGCUAGUUGGUAAGGUAACGGCUUACCAAGGCAACGAUGCAUAGCCGACCUGGGAGGGUGAUCGGCCACACUGGAACUGAGACACGGUCCAGACUCCUACGGGAGGCAGCAGUAGGGAAUCUUGCGCAAUGGGCGAAAGCCUGACGGAGCAACGCCGCGUGAGUGAUGAAGGUCUUCGGAUCGGAAAACUCUGUUAUUAGGGAAGAACAUAUGUGUAAGUAACUGUGGACAUCUUGACGGUACCUAAUCAGAAAGCCACGGCUAACUACGUG
rnacentral:rRNA from 1 species